UUCCUCGGCUCCUGGAGUGCUGGACUUGAAUCCAGAGCUGCCUCCUCCCUCACUGGUGCUCUGCCUGUACGGGGGAAGAGCACAGGCUGUGGAGACAAACAUCCCAGGGCAUAGGGCUGUUCGUGGGACCUGGGGCCAUGUUAAGCUGGAGUUCUGGACACUUUAGUCCUCGGCCUAGAAGAGGGCCCUGUCCCUGUCGCCUGGCUGUUCAGGGUGUGGCUGUCAUCCUCCCUCGGAGAGACCACACUUGGUUCACAUCUCACCAAGACCACCCACGAAGCAGCGUCCCACCCCCAUGGAAACUGAGCAUCUCAAUUUGGAGGACCAGACAGCAAGUACCCAAAACCCAGAGCUCCUUACUUAGCUCUCCCAUGCCUCAGUUUCCUCAGCUGUAAAGAGAUGCUUCUGUCCACCUCACUGGUGAUAAGUCAGAACGCCUGCCUGGCAUAGGUAGGGACUGAUUGUGGCCACCAUAAAGGUCAGGGGCGAUGGUGACUGGGCACAAAGUGUGGCGGGCCUUUGAGUGACGUGUCUGGCCUGGCCCUCUCCUGGAGUUGGGGAGCCCUUUAGGGUAGGGUGGGGGGAACAGCUGGUGCCCCAGGCCCCAGGUUAAGGUGCUCAUGCCAAGAUGCGGGCCUUCCUUCCCAAGCCUAGGGCCCUUGCCCCAUCCCAGAACCAAGCUUCUCCCACUCCCACAGUCCCCACCUGCCUCUCCCCAAGCCUGUGGUCUGUUUACAGAGUUUCUAGGUUGGACUCUACUGCAGCUUUGAUCUUUUCUGAGGAAUGGGCAGCUGAGGCCAGGCGGGAAGCUGGCUGUAUAUUUUCUCCGGCCCAUGAGGCCGCCUUUGCCUCCUGCGCUUCGGAAGCCACAGAACCCUUAGGCCCAGAUCCGGAGCUCAGCCUCUGUGCCCUGGGGCCCUCCAUUCCACAUCACUGGUUUGUACCAAGCCUGACAUCUGGGAAAACCCCCCGAUCCGGGAUUGGCUGGUGCCCACAGCACGCCUCUGCCUCCUCCUGGGCCUCGUUGUCCUCGUUUUUUCAGUUGGGACUUCAGUGUGUACUUCGUGGUUGGCCUUGCGGCUUCAAGGAGAUAAUCUGCAAAUUCCUGCUAGCAGCCCAGACCGGCUUCGCCCAGUGGCCGCUGUUGCAAGCAGGAAUCCUGAAUCCGCGUGACCAUCGCGCCCAGCACCCUGGACAGCAGCGGCCUGGGCCUGCCCUCUCGGGGUUGGAGGGAGAUCCCCUUCCGCCCGCCGCCACGCCCACUCCCCUCAGCCUCUCCAGGCCUCCCUGCAGCUCCUGCAGUCUUUAGUCUUGGGCUCAGUCUGGUAAUUAAAAAUCUUCAAGGGGGACUUUAUUGAGUUAGCAUUAGUUAUUUUGUCAGGCUGGGAGAGCGAGAAAAUUAUCUGUCCUCGGGGAGAGGGGGCUGGGGUGGGGGCCGCGGGC
rnacentral:lncRNA from 1 species